UACGUAGGGUCCGAGCGUUGUCCGGAUUUAUUGGGCGUAAAGAGCUCGUAGGCGGUUUCGUAACUCGGAUGUGAAAACUCAGGGCUCAACCCGGAGACGCCAUCCGAUACUGCGAUGACUGGAGUCUGGUAGGGGAUCACGGAAUACCUGGUGUAGCGGUGAAAUGCGCAGAGAUCAUGAGGAAGACCAGUGGCGAAGGCGGGUCUCUGGACAGUUCCUGACACUGAGACACGAAGGCCAGGGGAGCGAACGGG
rnacentral:rRNA from 1 species